GUGAGUUUGUCGAGGGGAUGUUUUUCCGUAUCAAUUUUUAUAUCAGAUUCUAUUCUAUUUCAAUAGGAGGACUCGAUCUGUGAGUGAACAUCGUCGGACACGGACCCGUGCGGGCUGGAAUCGAAUUGCAUCAACCGAGCGCUGCUCGAGGAGUGCAAUCCAAAGACUUAUCCAGCUGGCGAAAGUUACAAGAUCCAGUGCUUCGAACGAAAGCAGUACCCGGCACUGGCGGCCAAACGGAUCUGAUCGCGCAGGAGGACAUCCGCCCUGGUACGUCGGAGAGGUGAUCAACAACGAAGAGUUGGCGCGGCGGAUAAAGCAAAAGCAGGACCAAAAGGUCGAAAAUUACUACUUCCUGACGAUGAACACGGAGUUGACAACCGACUCGGGGCCCAAAGGCAACGUGGCCCGGUUCAUAUAACACUCGUGCGAGCCCAACUGCGAGACGCUGCUGUGGAAGGUCGGCGGAAGCCAAUACGUGGGGCUGUUUGCCCUCAAGGACCUCAAGGCGGGCCUUCAACUACAACUUUGAGACGUUCGGCGACCAGAAGAUCUGCUAGUGUGGUGCGGGCAAGUGUUCCGAGCUGAUCGCCAGCCAAGGGACGGAGAACUGGAGUGAGUAGGCCACAACGGUCUUGCGCGCGACUCCUCCGCCACCCAAGCCUGCGGCAAAGUACCUUGCGGAUCCAUCCCGCCCAACCUCAAAGCCCCUCCCAGCUGCGGUUUCAGAUCAGGAGAAAGAUAUUCUGAGAAAUUGCAUUAAAGGAUCCAGAAUUAAUUCAGGGACGUGGGGUAGCCAUCUUGGCUUCGGUCGUGUUGUGUAUCGCCGCGUUAAAUUGGAAGGAUUUUUCAUUGAAUUUGUCGUUUUUGUGGCCGUGAAAUUGGUGCAAUCAGUGGAAUGAGUGAUGGGCUAUUUGGGAAAGUGAAGUUUUCUCGAAUAUUGCGGUUUUAAGUGAUUUUCCUACGAUUUUGUUUGGCGGAGUUGCCGAUCGUGUGAGGGAGAGGGUGAGAGGGAGUUGACUAGUGUGUGUGCUAUCUUGGUUCGCCGAUGACAGCAACGAAAUCGUGCCACCACCGAAGCAAUGACAGGAGGUGGAUUCUGCUGCAGCGUCGCGAGUGUUGGGUCAAACGUCAUUUGAUGUUGGGGUGUAGUUUUCGAGAAGGGCCAAAUUUGAACAUGCAGACUUUCUGCAAACCUACAGAUUUUUGAUCGAAUGGGCCAAAAAGCAGUAAGAGAGGAAGUUCUGCGUCGUGCCUGGGUGUGGUCGUCCUGUGUGCUGGUGAUGAUCUGGGUGUGCGCCUCCAACCCAUCGCUUGUCCGGCGCAGGGAUGUGGCUCCUCUGGCUUCGUCAUCAGCUGAGUGAACUUGCUGUGAGCUGCUGCUUGCCGUAAUCGUUGCUGGACUCGGGUGAGAGCGUUCUUUAUUUUACUUUUUUCUCUUUUUAGUUUAUACUUUGGUCGCGUUCGGUUCCUUAUGUUUAUUUUAUAAUUAUUUUAACUGAAUUGAAACAGUAUUAUAUCAUUAGUCAUACAGAAGCGGUUCGCACGCGACAGUUUCCAUUGAUUGCUCAUUUUGCUCACAGCAAGGCCGGUUCCGUGAUAUUCGGUUUGGACCUCGUGUUUGGUCGGUUCGAUUCGGUGUGCGUUUGUUCAAGCAUGUAUGUUCGAUUUUUUUGCAAAUAUUUACUUUGAUUCAGUCUUUCCACAGCCGGCUGUCUAAGUCUGAAUCAGUUUUAAUCCAACAAAAUAUAUAAUUAAACAAUUAAUUUUCCCCGUGGGGUGAGACACAUGCCCUAAUUAAUUAAGAUUAUCGCCUAGUUCAGCGAUUCUCAACCUUCUUCUAGGCUGGUACCCCCUACUGUGUAAAUCAAGUAGGCCCGGUACCCCCGUUGAGAAUCGCUGGCCUAGUUGAUUAGAAAUUUUAGUUAGUUGAUUAGCAUUCACGCUAAUCAAUUAGCGUAUUCCCACCUAUCUAUUUACCUUGGUCUGUCGCGCAAACGUCAAACAAAUCAAAGCAAAACAAAAAAAUAUUCGCGUGAGGCCGUAUGAAAUGUAAAUUAAUCUGAAAUUUACCAAAUUUGUCUGGAAACCGGCGUCCUAAAGACCAAACUAACCAUUAUGCCGAUGGAAAAGCUGCUGAGGAUAGAAAUAAGUAGGUCGGCGUCCUACAGUGCUCGGGGUAAAUCGUUUUAGAAGGCUGAGGAAGUGGAAAGCGUUGCGGAUUUUCCUCGGGACGAUUUUUUUUUAGGAUUUUCAACGAAAAGGCCAGGUUGGCAAAUAACAGCUCGGAAGUCUUGGCAUUUUUCGCAAACGGAUAGCGCAGGAAAGUCUACAGAAAGCUAUACGGAAACGAACGGAUUUGUCGGAAGUGGUGCCUCGUCAUCCUUCUGGACGGAACACUCCACGGUUCUGGGCGUUAGGAAUCUAAGAAGAGCUGUGGGUUUUUCCAGUUAGACCAGUAUCAUCAGAAGGCUGUCCAAGAUUUUAGUUUUUUUUGUUGAAUUUAAGUUAAUUUAGAAAAGAAAUUCUUUUUUAACUAUUCAAUAAGGUUGUUCCUUUCAGAAAUAUUUACAGGGGCCAAACGGGAUAGUUAUUGUCUCAUAACAAUUACUAAUUACUAAUCAUCGGGGUUGUGGCCUUGUGGCCAGAGAAAAACAACAAAAGAACCAUUUUUAUUACCGUGAAUAAUUAAUAAAAAUGAAAACUAAUUAUUUUGUGAAAAGCGUAACUGCCCAGUGCCGAACAACCAACAGCGUUCGAGUCGUGCGUAAAUUACCGUAAUCUGGGGUGAAUCGGGACUACAGUCUGAAUAGGGACAGCAGUUUUUAGAGCACUUAAAGCUUUUAAAUUUGGAAAUGGAUGUACACAUUUUGUUGGCCUGAGUCUGUUCUAACCAACACCAACCAGACAAAUCAAAAUAUUGUGCUCCAACAUGGUUAAAACUGCUGUCACAAUUCGCCCCAUGUGUCCCGAUUGACCCCAGUUUACGGUAAUGCAAAUUUCCAAUCAUAAACUGUUGCCGGGGCGGGGGCGAUGAACGGCCUAUGCUUUCAGUUUCCUAUUGCGAUUGGUCACAUCUUGAUUGAACUUUUGCGUUGAUCCGAACGGUUUCAGCUGGAUGAACUGGUUCGCGGGAAUGAUCUUGAUGUUGGAGGACGUCGUCAGGGUCGAGGAGAGCAGGGCGGGUUGCUGAGUUGACUCGCACUUGAUCAUUGAUAAAACUGAUAAAACGAUGGGCAAACUUGCCAGCCGGACACGAUUUGGGGACCGGAUGAGGAGCGAUUCUCCCAGCCGCUGAUUCCGGUGCCGCCAUACAGGAGAUCUGGAAGUUGGUGACUGGGGAUGCCUUCUUCUUAACUUUUGGAAACCGCGUCCGCGUCCGGUAGAAUGCUCAUGAUGGCCACAUCCAGUGUCUUUUGGCUUUACUGAAGGAGCAACUUUUCGGCGCGGGGUUGUUUUGGGACUUUUGGCCCGCGCUUGGUGGGUUGUUUGUGAUUCGAAUCGCUUUGGCCGGUUCCCCGUCCACGGUGCUGGCAGACUAGCUCAUGCGGUGCAUUCGGUUUGCGGCAAUCGGUGGUGAGGCCGUGGCCACCGUGGGAUGAUCGCUGAGCCGCCGGUCCUGGCCACGUUGCUGUUGUUGUUCGAAAGCAACAGGUUGUUAUUUGGCUGUCCCGUCGGGUUGGGGCGGACAUUUGGCAAAUUACGAACAGAACCGGCGCCGUAUGCAUUGAUUGCUUGUUGAUGUUUCCCCCGGGAGGCAUCGCAAUCGGAACCACCGAAUCCAUCGAGGCAAACAGUGAGUACCACUCCUGCAGUCGACUGCUCGGCGAGUCCAGAUUCGGCCCGGAAAGACGAUGUACGGCUGACAGGGUAACUUCCUAUUCUUGUGUGCCACCACCGGCUCUUUCCUUGCCUUCAGGAAUCUGCAUGUUAUCUUUGAUCAAUUGGCG